ACAUGUAUCUGUGUCAACUGUGUGGACCCAUGGGCUGUUGGCUCAAACCCCACCUUUGGAAUUCCCCAUUCACCACCAUCAACCAGGAAAUUGGGUCCUGAUUCAGACCUGGAAAGAAUCCACAACUCCAGCCUGAAUAGGAAGGACCAUUCCAAAUACUACUAAGCACUGAAACAGCCGUAAGAACUGCAGAAAAUGGUUGGACUCACUAUACUUGAGUGAAAGCAUCCGUUGACCCUAGUACCUGGGAAGUCGUUCCUACAGAAGACUUGUUGAAAGUUAAAAUCGAAAAGAAAAAUCUCAUAAGAGACUCUGAGCAGGAUAAAAGCUUACAAUUGUAAACUAACCUUUUAUUUUCACA